rnacentral:rRNA from 1 species
GUGUCAGCCGCCGCGGUAAUACAGAGGGUGCAAGCGUUAAUCGGAAUUACUGGGCGUAAAGCGCGCGUAGGCCGUCGAGUAAGUCGGAUGUGAAAUCCCCGGGCUUAACCUGGGAAUUGCAUUCGAUACUGCUUGGCUAGAGUGUGGAAGAGGGAAGCGGAAUUUCCGGUGUAGCGGUGAAAUGCGUAGAUAUCGGAAGGAACACCAGUGGCGAAGGCGGCUUCCUGGUCCAACACUGACGCUGAGGCGCGAAAGCGUGGGGAGCGAACAGGAUUAGAAACCCUUGUAGUCC